rnacentral:rRNA from 1 species
UGUAGCGGUGAAAUGCGUAGAGAUCUGGAGGAAUACCGGUGGCGAAGGCGGCCCCCUGGACGAAGACUGACGCUCAGGUGCGAAAGCGUGGGGAGCAAACAGGAUUAGAUACCCUGGUAGUCCACGCUGUAAACGAUGUCGACUUGGAGGUUGUGCCCUUGAGGCGUGGCUUCCGGAGCUAACGCGUUAAGUCGACCGCCUGGGGAGUACGGCCGCAAGGUUAAAACUCAAAUGAAUUGACGGGGGCCCGCACAA